UACGGAGGGUGCAAGCGUUAAUCGGAAUUACUGGGCGUAAAGCGUGCGCAGGCGGUUUGUUACGUCUGCCGUGAAAUCCCCGGGCUCAACCUGGGAAUGGCGAUGGAUACUGGGCAGCUAGAGUGUGUCGGAGGAUGGUGGAAUUCCCGGUGUAGCGGUGAAAUGCGUAGAGAUCGGGAGGAACAUCAGUGGCGAAGGCGGCCAUCUGGGACAACACUGACGCUGAAGCACGAAAGCGUGGGGAGCAAACAGG
rnacentral:rRNA from 1 species